rnacentral:rRNA from 1 species
UGUGCCUACGGGGCGCAGCAGUGGGGAAUAUUGCACAAUGGGCGAAAGCCUGAUGCAGCAACGCCGCGUGAAGGAAGAAGGGUUUCGGCUCGUAAACUUCUAUUAACAGGGACGAAAGAAAUGACGGUACCUGAAUAAGAAGCCCCGGCUAACUACGUGCCAGCAGCCGAGGGAAUACGUAGGGGGCAAGCGUUAUCCGGAAUUACUGGGUGGAAAGGGGGAGUAGGCGGCAUGGUAAG